AGUCGGUCGAUAAGCCGGGUUCUGUCGCGGACAAUCAUUCAUCUGGGAUAUGCGUCACCACAUACCUCAAGCAACCUACCCGAAUCCCGUACGGGCCGCACGUUUUCACCUCGCGAUGAAGUGGAUUCCUAUUUGGUCUUGCUCCGGGUGGGGUUUUCCCUGCCACGACUGUUACCAAUCGCGCGGUGCGCUCUUACCGCACCAUUUCACCCUUACCAGUUCGAUAAGGAACUGGCGGUAUAUUUUCUGUGGCACUUUCCGUAGGCUUUCACCUCCCAGGCGUUACCUGGCACCCUGCCCUAUGGAGCCCGGACUUUCCUCCCCUUGUGUAAACAAGGAGCGAUUGCCUGACCGACUCUGUUCCAAUACUAACAGAGUGCCUAGUGAAAGACCAGAAUCAUAA
rnacentral:RNase_P_RNA from 1 species